rnacentral:lncRNA from 1 species
AAAACUGUACCUAUACGCCUUAUUUUUAGUCCAGAUUUUUAGUAUUUGUAUUGUUAUCUUAGAAAGUCUUACUGAUUAAAAUACUACAAUAGGUAACAAUUUGACAAUUUAGUAGUGUCAACCCUGUGAUUAUGACCCGUGUAUAUAGCAUAUUAAUCCUGAAUACACCGUUUGUUGGUGCGCCUGUCAGAUGCGGAACGUUCAGAUAAGGUAAAAGGUAACAGGUGAAUAUACUAUUGGUAUCGGUAUCGGACUCGACCCGGAACUUCUUAAUUAUUGGCAAUAUUAAUUACGUGGAAAACAAAAGGGCCUGGAGUGGUGUAAUUUUUAAUCUACACCUUUGUACUAUAUUAAUUAUAUAUAAAGUUGAAUUCUUUGAUUCGUCGUUUUUACGUGAUGACGGCUGACAAAUUGGA